ACGCUCGACACCUACGGAGGCAGCAGUGGGGAAUUUUGCGCAAUGGGGGCAACCCUGACGCAGCAACGCCGCGUGCGGGACGAAGGCCUUCGGGUCGUAAACCGCUUUCAGCAGGGAAGACAGCGACGGUACCUGCAGAAGAACGCCCGGCUAACUACGUGCCAGCACGCCGGACGGUAAUCGUGGACGGCCGGGCGUCGGACGAAGGC
rnacentral:rRNA from 1 species